GUGUUUCCCUUCACGUGUAGUUAGGAUGCAUCUUUGGCAAAAGUAUCUUGCAUAUGAGGAUUAAAAUUAGUGGCCCUACCAAAUACUAACUCUAUCUUUACGGCGCUUCUCAAUGAACUUGAGUUUUACGGAAGUAUUGGUUGUGUCGUGCCAUGAAUUGAAAGUCUAUCUUUGAUCGAACCUUAAGGUGAACUUCUCAGAUUCCGACAUGCUGAUAACUAUAAAGCCGGCAGAAAUGAUUGGUCGGUAAACUUUUGAAUGGUGGCAUGGCAACAUUGGCAACCAAGUUAGCACACUCUAUUCUCUGGCUGGUGCUUGGUACUUAUGUGUUUAUGCGACCACAACAGCGAGAAAGACUGAUGUCAACGGUCAGUCACGUUUUUUCGAGGAGACAUGAUCGAGGGAGGACAUAAAAAUGUUGUACGGAAUAUGGUUGAGGAUCUGCACCCAGGGAUAGUGCUGAAUGGGGUAGAUGAUGUGUUCCUGGUGCCACGCAUUCCUAUAUGUGAAACUGCAUAACAUCAGGAAGAGAUGUUUCAUUUUUAGCAAGAAGAAAGGGAAGGAGGUGAGGCUGUAAUUAGGGAUGAAAGUGGUACGGAUAGUUUCCGAGUUCCGGAUCUGUUUUCGAAUUCGGA
rnacentral:lncRNA from 1 species